rnacentral:rRNA from 1 species
GAUGAACGCUGGCGGCGUGCCUAAUACAUGCAAGUCGAGCGAACGGACGAGAAGCUUGCUUCUCUGAUGUUAGCGGCGGACGGGUGAGUAACACGUGGAUAACCUACCUAUAAGACUGGGAUAACUUCGGGAAACCGGAGCUAAUACCGGAUAAUAUUUUGAACCGCAUGGUUCAAAAGUGAAAGACGGUCUUGCUGUCACUUAUAGAUGGAUCCGCGCUGCAUUAGCUAGUUGGUAAGGUAACGGCUUACCAAGGCAACGAUGCAUAGCCGACCUGAGAGGGUGAUCGGCCACUCUAGAACUGAGACGCGGUCCAGACUCCUACGGGAGGCAGCAGUAGGGAAUCUUCCGCAAUGGGCGAAGGCCUGACGGAGCACCGCCGCGUGAGUAAUAAAGAUCUUCGAAUCUUAAAACUCUGUUAUUAGGAAGGAACAUAUGUGUAAGUAACUGUGCACAUCUUGACGGUACCUAAUCAGAAAGCCACGGCUAACUACGUG